rnacentral:rRNA from 1 species
UAUGAACGCUGGCGGCGUGCCUAAUACAUGCAAGUCGAGCGAACGGACGAGAAGCUUGCUUCUCUGAUGUUAGCGGCGGACGGGUGAGUAACACGUGGAUAACCUACCUAUAAGACUGGGAUAACUUCGGGAAACCGGAGCUAAUACCGGAUAAUAUUUUGAACCGCAUGGUUCAAAAGUGAAAGACGGUCUUGCUGUCACUUAUAGAUGGAUCCGCGCUGCAUUAGCUAGUUGGUAAGGUAACGGCUUACCAAGGCAACGAUGCAUAGCCGACCUGAGAGGGUGAUCGGCCACACUGGAACUGAGACACGGUCCAGACUCCUACGGGAGGCAGCAGUAGGGAAUCUUCCGCAAUGGGCGAAAGCCUGACGGAGCAACGCCGCGUGAGUGAUGAAGGUCUUCGGAUCGUAAAACUCUGUUAUUAGGGAAGAACAUGUGUGUAAGUAACUGUGCACAUCUUGACGGUACCUAAUCAGAAAGCCACGGCUAACUACGUG